GGUGGAGUGCGGGAAUUGGCGACGUGGCCGAAUCCCGCACUUACACCACAUCAUCAAUAACAAGCCAAUCAUAUUUUUUCUUUUCAAACAAAAAUACAAUAAAAAUAUUUUUUUACAAUCAUUAUAGGACAUAUAUUUUUAAAAUGAUUAAUUUGAUUGGUUUGUUACGCCACGUCACUAAUAUAUCCGUUGCAUUUUAGAAUUUUUCCAAAUG
rnacentral:lncRNA from 1 species